UUCCAGACUCCUACGGGAGGCAGCAGUGGGGAAUAUUGCACAAUGGGGGAAACCCUGAUGCAGCGACGCCGCGUGAGUGAAGAAGCGUUUCGGCGCGUAAAGCUCUGUCAGCGGGGAAGAAACACGGUUCGCGAGAGCCGCGGACGGUACCCGACCAAGAAGCCCCGGCUAACUACGUGCCAGCAGCCGCGGUAAUACGUAGGGGGCAAGCGUUAUCCGGAUUCACUGGGUGUAAAGGGGGCGCAGACGGCGAUGCAAGCCAGGAGUGAAAGCCCGGGGCCCAACCCCGGGACUGCUCUUGGAACUGCGUGGCUGGAGUGCAGGAGGGGCAGGCGGAAUUCCUGGUGUAGCGGUGAAAUGCGUAGAUAUCAGGAGGAACACCGGUGGCGAAGGCGGCCUGCUGGACUGCAACUGACGUUGAGGCCCGAAAGCGUGGGGAGCAAACAGGAUUAGAUACCCUUGUA
rnacentral:rRNA from 1 species